rnacentral:rRNA from 1 species
AACGAACGCUGGCGGCAUGCCUAACACAUGCAAGUCGAACGGGAUCCAGGCUUCGGCCUGGUGAGAGUGGCGGACGGGUGAGUAACGCGUGGGAACCUGCCCAAUGGUCUGGGAUAACCGCGGGAAACUGCGGCUAAUACCGGAUAAGCCCGAGAGGGGAAAGAUUUAUCGCCGAUGGAGGGGCCCGCGUCAGAUUAGGUAGUUGGUGGGGUAAUGGCCUACCAAGCCUACGAUCUGUAGCUGGCUGAGAGGAUGAUCAGCCACACUGGGACUGAGAUACGGCCCAGACUCCUACGGGAGGCAGCAGUGGGGAAUAUUGGACAAUGGGGGCAACCCUGAUCCAGCAAUGCCGCGUGAGUGAUGAAGGCCUUAGGGUUGUAAAGCUCUUUUGGCGGGGACGAUGAUGACGGUACCCGCAGAAGAAGCCCCGGCUAACUUCGUGCCAGCCGCCGCCGUAA